rnacentral:rRNA from 1 species
AACGAACGCUGGCGGCAGGCUUAACACAUGCAAGUCGAACGCCCCGCAAGGGGAGUGGCAGACGGGUGAGUAACGCGUGUGAACAUACCCUUUUCUACGGAAUAGCUCUGGGAAACUGGAAUUAAUACCGUAUACGCCCUACGGGGGAAAGAUUGAUCGGGGAAGGAUUGGCCCGCGUUGGAUUAGCUAGUUGGUGGGGUAAAGGCCUACCAAGGCGACGAACCAUAGCUGGUCUGAGAGGAUGAUCGGCCACAUUGGGACUGAGACACGGCCCAGACUCCUACGGGAGGCAGCAGUGGGGAAUAUUGGACAAUGGGCGCAAGCCUGAUACAGCCAUGCCGCGUGAGUGAUGAAGUCCUUAGGGUUGUAAAGCUCUUUCACCGAUGAAGAUAAUGACGGUAGUCGGAGAAGAAGCCCCGGCUAACUUCGUGCCAGCAGCCGCGGUAA